GUCAUAGCUCAGCAAUAGAGCACCUGUUUUGCAUGCAGAAGGUCUCAGGUUCAAUUCCUGGCAUCUGCA